rnacentral:rRNA from 1 species
GAUUUUAGAAAAUCUUAACUGCAACCCCAAUCCCAUCUGAUCUCGGAAGCUAAGCAGGGUCGGGCCUGGUUAGUAUUUGGAUGGGAGACCGCCUAGGAAGACCAGGUGCUAUAGGUG